UCACGGCUCUUGAACUCAAUCCCUCUAUUAAUGAAAGCUAACACACCAUACGCCUUCUUAACAACUCUAUCCACAUGGGUGGCAGCUUUCAGGGAAUGUGUUGCCCUUCAAACCAUUCACCAACAUUACUUGAUAUGACACCUGUAUGACAUAUCUCUGUUCCUUCAGGGUCACUGGGUCAAAAUCCUGGAACUUGUUAGAAGCACUAUGUACCUGUAUCAAAUGUGCUGCAGAAUCCAAGAUAGCAGCUCACCGCCACCACCACCUAAAAGGCAACAAAUGCUGACCCAGCAGUGAAGCCCACAUUCCAUGAAUGAAUUAAAAAAUAAAUAUGGAGUAAACUUGUGUUUUUACUCCAUUCGGUUGUAGAAAAUAUGAACCCUGUUCUUGUCUGUUCUUGGAAGAUGGGCAGGGAAAAUAACUUGAAUCUGAGCAGAAUCAGAAAGGUGGUAAAUGAAUAGAGGGGAAGAAUUCAAUUAAGAAGAGAUGAGUUUGGUUGCUGAUUGACAAUUCCAAUUAAAAAUUAAAAUCAAAGCUUAACAAACAAUAAGAACAAAUUGGAGAACAUUUCAACAAUGGUAAAUGCAUGAUCAUAUGUUCCUGCUUAAUAUCAUAUGGCCCUGUUUUCUCACUAUUGAUAAUAGAUUUCCAAUAAGUGAUUGACAGACUGCUGAGAAGCUUACAGUGGUUUCAUUGUUAUUGACUCAAAAUAAAAAGAGCAUUAAAGCCCGAAAGAAGAGGAGGAGGAGGAGGAGGAGGUGGAAAUGGACAGUGAGAAAGAGGAAGGUGAAUCUGACAUGGAAAUUAAUCUUGUUGAAGAUGAGCAAGAAACAAAGGACGCAUAUUCAUCAGAGGACCUGUUACCUAAGCUGACCAAAUCUGAGCAAAAAGAACUUAAAAAACUUCGGAAGAUUGAUUACAGCUGGCUAUCUACAUUACAGGUCACACAGUGAUUACAGCUGGGCAUCAAAUGGGAAAUGACGGGAUGAAAUGUUCAAUAUUUUUAGUACAGGUAAUUAGUCAUUGUUAUAUAUAUAAAGCUUUGUUUUUAAAACUCAGACUAUUUGUGUUCCUUACAAUAAAAUUGUUUGGGAGAUACAA